rnacentral:rRNA from 1 species
UGAGCUGGCGGCGUUUUAACACAUGCAAGUCGAACGAUGAUCCGGUGCUUGCACCGGGGAUUAGUGGCGAACGGGUGAGUAACACGUGAGUAACCUGCCCUUGACUCUGGGAUAAGCCUGGGAAACCGGGUCUAAUACCGGAUAUGACCUGUUACCGCAUGGUGGCGGGUGGAAAGAUUUAUUGGUUUUGGAUGGACUCGCGGCCUAUCAGCUUGUUGGUGGGGUAAUGGCCUACCAAGGCGACGACGGGUAGCCGGCCUGAGAGGGUGACCGGCCACACUGGGACUGAGACACGGCCCAGACUCCUACGGGAGGG